UUUUCUUCUUCGUCCCCUUCUUCUUCUUCCAGCGCUUCAACAAACCUGUUGCUGAUUGGUCUUAAUGUGACAUCCACAUUCUCUGACCAAUGAGAACGCCGGAACCGUGUUUGUUGCAUAAAAGGAAGAGAGAAAACGCACACACUAAUGUCCACAACCUGCACGAGAAGAUUACAUCAAAGCUUUCCACGACACUCAACCUCAAACACAACAGAAAGACACAACUUUGUGAUCCUUGAUCAAAUAAACAUGCCUUCUACACUUCACUGACCAUUAAAAUGGUUUGAAAACUAUCAGUUUUGUGUGACAGACUUCCCUCCAAGAUCUGCAUAUAACCUCAACAGGAGAUGGAGGAAUCCGCUCACCCAUACUGCUCUGACUUUGGAGACAAUGAGGAUAUGGAGGAGGAGGGGGACAUUUAUCGAGAGGAAACUGACAUGGUUACCUCUCUAUACCAAGAUCUUCACAAACAUCCCAAUCAGGAUACUGAGAGAGUUUGGGAGUCUUUUCCCUGCCAGCACUGUGAGAGACAUUUCACCAGCAAGCAAGGCCUGGAACGACACAUGCACAUCCACGCUUUGGCUAACAACGAGGCACAGCCAUACAAAAGCAAUAAGAGCGACAUGUCUUUAGGUUCAAAUCUAGGUCAGCCGCAGCAUGAGAAGAUGAAGCCACUGGAUCGUCAUACUUUAUCCCCCACGACCUCUAAUACUUUCAUUUUGUCAGCCGAAGACCACACGGCUCAGCCAGACAAACAGAGAGAAUUAGAUAGUCGCAUGUUCCACGAGCAGCACCUGCAACUCGUACAUGAAGAAAACAAAGAGCUGCCUGAGGAGGAAAGUCUUCAGAGCAUUUUCAUUGAAACGUCUAAACUGGAAACACAGCUUGGCGACAACAUUGCACCUGCUACUGUUCUGGGGAAUGAGGGGCAACACACAGAACAAUACAUGCUAGACGUUUCUAGCAAUGUUUCGGAGAAUCUCAGCUUUUACAUUGGUGGAAAGAUAGUGUCGACAAGUACAGUAAGUAGCUGCGAAGCGGCUGAGGUUCAUUCAGGUUCUUCAGCUUUAGUUGGACUGGAUGCCCUGAUUCUGGACCCCACCCAAAUCAGCCAGAUUUUGAAUACAGAUUCAGUUCCAGGCAAAGAGAUACCUGGUCAACCACUUGCUAAGAGGAGAACUGCUACACCGCCUCUCUUACCACAAAUUAAAACUGAACUGGAGUCUGAAGUGGUGGUGUCCUCUUCCUCCUCAUCCCUUGUAUCCUCACUAAUUGAGAAUCUGCUUCCUCUGCAUACAGAGUCCACCGUUGUGCAGAAGGAGAGAACAGUGUUUCUGUCUCCUAAGCUGAAGCAGCUUCUGGAGAAGCAGGAUGGCCUUAACCCGACAUUUGCCCUGAUCACAGAUGGUGAGAAGCCCUGUUCGCCUGUCUCUCUCUCUGUCCUGCCCGCUGGAACAGGAAGGUUUAAAAGAAGGACCGGGUCUCCAACAGGUUCCCCACAGCAAAACCCAACAUCGAACGAAGAAACGCCGACGCCAGAUUCUGAAAAUUUUGUUGCUGAAAGUACAGGACAGUUGGAGCCCCAGCAUAUCUCACCUGUGCAUCUAACAGCCAGUGAGAAGGAGGACUCGCCGCCAGCUGUGGAGGAGCCAGCAGUGACACCUGUCUCAACAGAGAGCUGGCCCCCCUUGACUGGUGGCAAUUCCUGUAACCAGCAACCACUAGAUCUCUCUAACACAGUCAAAAGAAACGAAGAUUUAGCUUUAACUGAGGCCGUGCUGGAUUUAAGUUUGCAGAAAAAGAUCUUCGGUGAAUCUGAGCUGAUGCUAAAUUUAGUUUCGCAGGUGCUUUUGGAAGAAGUUACAUCAAACACAUGCAUGGUGGAGAAACCCUUAAUGAAUAUCGGAGAGCAAAAUGUAAGCGUGGGGAAUUCUGAGACUCAUUUAGUCACGGACUUUAACAUAGUCACUGGUUCAGAUAUGGUGACCCCAGUUGCAGAAAGACUUGUUUAUGGACUUGCCCUACCCCCGACUUCUCUAACCCCAUCAUCCACCUGCCUCACCUCUGUUGCCUUCCCACCAGCUACACCAUGUACUAUAGCAUUUUCUUCCCCUGCCUCUCACACCAUGCUCUCUUCUGCACCUUCAUUAAUCACAGUUUUGGCACCACCACCAGCCAUUAAUAACCCUUCAAUCCAACCAAUCCAAGUAUUAGGCCCUAAUAUAUCUCCUGAGCCCUUGGUCAUCUGCACAGAAAAUGCAUUAAACUCUCCAGAGUGCAAUUUAACCGCUGCAUUUGCCACCACAAAUUCCGCAAACCUUGUCACUCUCUCCCAGCCCCUCGACUCGACUUUAAAUCUGCCGGGCAACGUGUUUCUCACCGAUCAGAUUUCUCUCAAUCCACCUAUUGUUGACUCAACUCCUGUGUCAGAAGUACCAUUCGCACCCACUGUAACUUUAAAUGACUCCCUCAUCAACUCUUUUAACAUUACCAGUAACACGGUGUUGAUAGAGUGCACAAUAGCGCUCGACACCCCAGGCAGUGUAGUCCCUGCUUCAAUUUCCUUACAAGAAAACCCUUCUGAGGAUCCAGUACCUACACAGAUGGUUGUUAAUCACAUCGAACAGCAACAGAUUGUAUCAGUGCCCGACGCUCAAACUCUGGACCCCACAAUUCUUGUGUCCACCAUUGCAGAAUCAGUAACUCUGUCCACUACCACCACCUCAAUGGUGUCUGAUUGUCCCUCUUUGGGGGAAUCGAGUCCCAACCCAGAACCUGCAGUUAAUGCAAAAACACCAACCAUAAAAGAAGAAGAAGAAGCUGCUGACGAUGUUGUAUCCAUACCUGAAAUACCAUCUAAAACUUCCCCCUCUUUUGAGAAAGCUGAACAGGACAAAUCCUCAAAUGACACACCAGGUGACGCACAACAGCAGACUUUCACCAAGAACUUCAUCUGCAAUGUGUGCGAUAAGCUUUUCCAUUCAAUGAAAGAACUCGGCCAUCACGUAGGUGACCAUGCUGCUGAAUGGCCCUACAAAUGUGAAUUCUGCGUGCUGCUCUUCGGUAGGCCCUCUGCUUUGCUCGACCAUCGAUCAAGCCUCCACGGUGUGGGCAAGACUUAUGUAUGCAGUGCAUGUACAAAAGAGUUUGUCUACCUCUGCAAUCUGAAACACCAUCAGGAGGAAUUGCACCCUGGCCAGCAGUGUACAUACACAGAAGAAGAAAAGGGCAAACUAAGACCUCAAAACUACAACAACUCGACAAAAGUCACAGCGGAGCCUUCAGUGCCCCACGUUCCAGAGGAUCCCAAGACAGUAGUGAAAAAGGAGGAAAGUGAAGUAGAUGUGGCCGCUGAGGAGCUGUUUACAACGAUAAAAAUCCUGGCCUCAGAUGGAGGGAAAGUUAAAGGACCAGACGUCCGUCUUGGCAUUAACCAACACUAUCCCAGCUUCAAGCCUCCUCCAUUUCCUUACCACAACAGGUCGCCCGCCGGCUCAGUGGCUUCAGCGACAAACUUCACCACCCACAACAUCCCACAAACGUUUAGUACAGCCAUUCGGUGCACCAAGUGUGGAAAGAGCUUUGAUAACAUGCCAGAGCUACACAAGCAUAUCCUGGCUUGUGCAAAUGCCAGCGAUAAAAGGCGAUACACACCAAAAAGGAAUCCUAUCCCUCUAAGGCACGUUGCAAAAACCCAGAACGGAGUGCUGUCGACUACUAAUUCUACUAACGGACUAAAUGCUUCCAACAGGGCCAGCCACUCAAACAGGUCCAAACCCAAUCAAGAGUCGCCAAUGAAAAUGAAAUUCAAAGUACUGAGCAAAAGGAAGAAAAAGUUGGUCCAAAGGGUUAUGCCACAGAGGAACAAGUCAGUUUCAUCUUCAAAUAAAGCGACGCCCACACAGGUGGAUGUGCAGCACGAGGUGUUUGUCUGCCCACACUGUAGCAGGGAGUUCAGCAUGCGUCGCAGCAGAACCAAACACAUGGCCGUGUGCCCCAAGAAACCUAAAGAGGUGAAGAAAAGAAAAGAAGGGGGAAUCUCUGUGACAAAGGAAAACGACCAACGCCUGCACAGAGGGAGCUCUCGCGCUGAAGAGAAACGACAACAAGCCUCACCUCAGCAUAAAACUAGAUUCCAGACCUCUGGCCUCGCGAAGAGGCCGGCCAUCCUACCAGUGCAGACUGUCUUUUCAAACAAAAGAAGUAAAAUAAUCAUAAAGGAGAGCAUGCAGCCAAAACAGGAGACGCCCACUCUGAAUGAACUUCCCAUUGUUCGCACUUUCAACCCCUCUAUGCGCCAGUACAGCCGAGUGCAGCAUGGCGUCAAAGGAAUUCCCAUUAAAAUCACCAUCGUGAAACCACGAUCAACUGCACCGCAGAGGGAUGAGCUGCUUCCCACCCAGAGCCGAGAGGAAACCACUGGAGAUGUUUCCAGCAGCUCUGAGCAGAGCGCUUCAACUUGAAGACAACCCCACGGCCGACAGAGGAUCAGAAGAAGCGACUGGGAACAUCUCACCUUUAAGCUGGUCAACAUCAUCCAGGGUCCAGUUCGUCCAGUAAGGCUCACUGCAGCGCCACACUGGAGCACUAAUGAGCUGGCAGAGAGCAGCAGCCCCGACGCAGAUCUCCCAUCAGCUGAGGAGCAGCAGCAUCUCUGACGGCGUCUGAGGCAACGAGACAAGAGGACUGAUCUGCAGUCAGAGCGGGAGGCAGCCGGUGCGAAGCCCUGGGAAAGGCGCAGGAGAGGUCGUGAGGUGGCUCCGGAGGCAAUUUAGCACUCAGGCGAGAGAGAGAGUGAGAGAGAAGGAGAUUGCUCCGGCGCAACAGCCGGACCUGCCCCCGCGCUCAGGAGGCUGACCCUCAGUGCACUUUCUGUUGCCGAAGACGACGGACCUCCCCCCCCCCCAGAGGAGCUCGGCCAUGGAGGAGAUGCUCACCUGCAGACGGAGCCCCUUCUCCCAGGUGUUUGGGCGUCAGGGUCAGCUCAUGCAAGCCAGUGAGUGUUCACAUCCACACGCAAGUCUGCAAAAUAUCAAAAUGACAAAGUUUUCUUGACCUUGUUUGGCUCUGGUUGAGCGUAAGCCUGAUGCAUGCAGUGAAAAAAUGGGUGCAGCCUCUGGUAUUUUUGUUUUUUAAUGUUAAGCACAAAUACAGAGUGGACUUUACAGACCGUCUUUAAAGUGGACUAUUUUUUAAAUAUGGCACCGUAAUGUAAAUCCUGAAAAAAUAAGGUGGUUAGGGAGCCAACAGUUGAAAAUGAUUGUCCCACAAAAAAAAUUGUACAUCAGUAUCACAUUGUUUUUAAAGAAGCAUCUGGUGCAAUUCAUAAUUUAGUUCUGAACUCAAUGGGACUGUUUCAAUUUUAGAGAUAUUACAUAAGUGGGUUAUGUAUUAAUCAAUUUAAUAAUUUGUAGAGUAGUGCAUAUUUCAACACAAAUAUGUAUUAAUGUUGAUAGUAUGCGAUGUUCCUUUGGUAUGGGAAACAGAUGCGAAAAGGUGUGUCUGUGUGGGUGUGUGUGUGUGUGUGUGUGUGUCUGUGUGUGUGUGUGUGUGUGUCUGUGUGUGUGUGUGUGUGUGCAGACCUCACCUUGCGUAACAUCCUUUGAUCUUUGCCUGACCAAACAUACCACGUGUAAAAAGAAGGAAACAAAUGGUCACCAGCAGAAAAAAAUUGACAGUUGAUACAGUUAACAUUCAAAAAUUGUACACAACUUGAUCAAAUACAUAACGUAAUAUAAUCCAAUAUAACAAUAAAUGCCUUUGUGACGUUGAUAAUGUUUGAUUUUUGUUGUGAUGCAGGUGUCACAAGUGUUUCUUUAUCAAACAGGAAUGUACAUUGAACUUGUUCAUUAAUUCACAUGAAGUUUAACAGGAUUUCAUCCUGGCAAAUACGUCUGAGGCUGCUGAGUUAGUUUGCAGUGAAAAAUAGAUGAUGUUUGCUCACAAUUAUGCUUAUGCACUUCAUGGGGAUUUUUUUUUUUUUAAAUGAACAUUUGAAGAGAUUUUAUAUAACACAAGUCCUAGACACCCACAGCCUCCAUUUCAACUCUGCCUAUGUGGGUGCGUUCAUAACUGUAUGUAUUAUUUGUAUGACUAUGUAUUUUCUGUGUACGUGACUUGGUCCAGUAGGAAUUGUUUGCUUGAGCUUUGAGACUCUGUGACUAAUUUCUUUUUUCCGCAUCUGCCAGCAUGAAAUAAUCUGCCUGAGGUGAUCAGUUACAAGGUGUCACAAAAUUCCUUCAACAGAAAACGGGAGCCUUUGGCCACGGCUGACCUACGUUUGAGUAUUGGGGUCAGGCAUGAAAAAAAAAUGAGAGAAGCAACUUUUGAGAGUAAAAAUGAAAUGUUGAGAAUAAAGUCAACUCCUCUGGUCCUUCAAAUCCAGUUAGCGGAGCGGCUGGCAGCAAUGCGAGCUGGCAGAGUGUUUCAUCAUAGGAGUGUAGGGUUUUAACCAUCAGUAUCCUUUGCCUUCGUCCAUUAUCAGCUAUUUCAGUCUGCUGAGACUCUUCUUUGUAGUGUUUGCUGAUGUGCUUGUAGUGAUGCGACCUGUGGUAAUUGUCCUCGUGCCUAAUCAAGCUCUAGAUGACUGACUAGGUGCUGACUCACCUGACCUCUAAGAGGAGUCUAUAUAUAUAUGGCGGACCAGUUUAUGCAUGCCUCAUUCUGCAAUGAAGAAAGUCCGACAUGGACUGAAACUUUUUCUCUUUUGCACAUUUCUUCACCGUCUGUUUGUAUGACUGUACAGCCCUUCAUGUGAAAUAUAGACAUUUGAAAGUUUGAAUCUCUAUUUCUCCAUUUUUUGCAGAGGCAGUCAUGUGCACUAAAGUUAGUAUCCUGAAAUUUCUAAUUUAUCUUCGACAUGCAAAAAAAACAACACAAAAAACAUUUCAAAUUUCAAAUUUAUUCUCCAAAUGCAAAAUGGGGCACAAAAAACCUCCCCUCAUUUUUUGAAUGCCUGACCCUAAUGCUCUGCUGUAAUGACCAGAGGUGAAACAUAGUCAGUUGUGAUUUGCCACAGGUUUUUCUGCAGAUUCAUAUGACUGCUGCACAAGCUUAUCUAGUGUGAUACGGAAAUGGAUUUGGAUUGUUUUUUUUGUCAGUUCUGUUGCCGUGCCAAAAAGAACCUUGAGCUUUUUUCUGCAAUGACUUGAACUGUACGUCGUACGACUUUAUUCUCUCUUUCAUCAGUAAAAUUGGUUGCUUUUAGGCUGCUGCUUUAAAAAAGGGAAGCUUUUCGCUGGCCGUCUGCAACAAUUGAAAUGUUAGAUUUCUUUGCAACGACAUAUUGUACAACAGAAACUUGCUGUUGCUGUUUAUUUGUGUGUUGGUUGAUUUGAACAAUUGAAAUGAUUACUCACUUAGCUACUCAUCUACGCAGAGUGGAGAACCUGCAGGCAGCGUGACACCGGGGAUAAAACAUGACACGAGCAAAUCAAGCUUCCUUUGUCCUGUUUGCCUUUGGAAUAUCACACACUGAGAAGCUAUUCACACUGCAUUUUCAGUCUUUGUCACACAUUUAUUUCACAUAAGGCCAAGGAGUUUUAUUGCAUCCCUACUCUGUUGUUUCCCCCCAAUCAAACUGAUCUUUAAAACAACUUGAUGCGUUCGUUUUCAGUAACCUCCGAUGCCUGCUUAUCAGUCACAGUAUAGGUGAGAAUGCCGGGCGCAUUAAACCAAAGUGCUACACUCCCCUUGUGAAAAUGACAUUAUCAUUGCAUGUGCUGUGGUGAAUUACAGUCAGUCUUGCUCUCCCCAAGUUAUCUAUGCUCUUUGAAGCUUGUGCCGCAUGUCUGCUAUUUCAAAUGUGUGAGAGAGAGCGAAGGAAGUGAGGGGGAGAUAGAGGGAGGGGAGGGGAUGGGAUGGGGGCAAGAAAGUGAGCAAGCUGCAAAUUGUGUGAAUAAGAGAUGGGUGUUUUUUCUCUAUUUUUAGCAGCAACCUUAUAUACUGUUACGCGGCGGUUGGAAGACUAAUCCACAGAAGUGCUGGCUCGCAAUAUCUGAACAGUAAUUAUAGGGGGAUUUUUUUUGUUAUCUUUGGCUGUCACCCAUCAUUGGAUCAGAAGUCCCUCAGCUAUAUGCAAAGGCCUGCCUGAAUUGCAGGGAGAAAAUCCAUGACAUGAGUGUUGCACGUGCCCAAAGACUCGAAUAUUAACAUCCUUCUGAUGGUACCCUGACAGAAUAAACAGAAUUUAUUCCCCCCCCUCAUGAAACACGUUCACGUGGCAGUGCCAGGUGCAUAAUCCUGCUACAAUGCUGUCGCUCCCCACUGGUUGUGGGAUCUGUUCUGCGCUCAGUGUUGUGAUGUGUUAUCAGAAAUUCCUCAGGAGCCUCAAUGCCUUGUCAAGGCAGCGUGAUGAUUUAGUUUCCUAGGCCUCUAAAAAGUAUUUGGUGGAAGUUUAUGUCUCUGACUUUUCAAGGUUAGUCCAUUCUGGUUAGAACAUUAUUUCUAACCUAAAUUGCGCUGACAAAUUCCCUACACCUUUUUUGUUGUUCCUGUAAUAGAAAUAAAAAUCGUUUCCCUCUUGACAGUCUAUUUCCCAGUGCAGUGAUAUCUGUUUUAAAAAAACCGAUGAGCAAAAGUUUUACAGCUCAAUUGCAGAGCAUUACUCGGAACAAACCUUUAGGGUAUUGUUUGGAUUGUGGAUCAAUAGUAUAACUUCUCCUGGACCUGAUCUACGUAGCUCUCAAAACGCCCCCACUGAUGGGGGGAGCUUCCUGUCUGAGAUCGUGUCUUGGCACAAAUUCUAGCUAAAUAAAUCAACAUAUAAAAUGAUAUGUUAAUGUUGAAAAUACAACAAUAAUUUUGACAAUUCCUUCCCUUUACUGUGCUUCCCCUUUUUUUUGUUGAGGUGGAUUUUGAUUUUAAUGCCGCAGUGAUACACUGAAGUAUAUCGCUAUCAAAUCGCUGUUCUACUAAUGUGGUGAAAUACACAAUUCUGUCAUGUUACUGCUCACCGUGCAUUAUUUAAACAAAUAUGAAAGAGAGAAUAAGUGACGAAUGAGAGUAAAAAUUCUCUUUGAAAUACCUUGUCAAAUACAUAUUAUUAAGCUAAAUUACAUUCAUCUGUGAAAAACAGAUCUGGACAAAAUGUGACAGCCUUGCAGUUAUGAAGAGUUGAGGCUGAAUAUCUAAUGCCAUUUUUAUUAAGGCUGUAUCUCCCAGUUUGAGUUUCAGAAACACGUAUGUAAUAACUGGAGAAGGAGAGAAUGUCAUGGUUGGAGAGUAUUUCUUUUUUUACCACUUCAUCAUUUUACCCUUGGAUAUCCUCUAAUUCCUCAAUAAACCGUUCAGUAAAUCCCCUGCACAGUAGAGGGGAAUGUGAUUUGGAAUUUUAAUAUGCGACCAUCGCAGGUGUAGGACACAUUUCGGUCUUCUUUGAGGUGAUUAAUUCCUCUCCUUCCUCCACUUAUGGUGUGGUUCCUGCACAGUCGCAGAUUCCUCACACCUCCUUACCCGGUGGGUUUUGCUGCGGUGAGAGAUUAGCUUCAUGCUCCCAGUGUUGCUAAUCAUGUAGAAGGAGUCACGUUGCGAGAGAGGUUGCAACCCAGUCUCACGGAAAAAGAGGCUUGCCGGAAUAGUGAGUGUGUGUGCACUCAGUAAGUGAAUGAUUGUUUUUCCAAGUGCUGAGUCAAGGAAUCUGGGAUGUUCUUCACGAUUCUUUAUUUUAUUUCUCUGAGUUUGCUCUAUACAGGCAGAUUAGUGAAAAUAAAAUGCUACAUUAACUGUGACCCUACGAGAUCUGCGCAUUGACACGAUCUCUCACAAUCUGUGCUGCUAUACUAAAAUAAAACCAUGCAACCUAAUUGAAGAAGUAAAGCCACGGGAGAUACUUCACUAAUAUCUCGCAGAUUGCAGUCAGCUUCACCAUCACAGCAAAAAUAAUUCAAACACUGACACAGACCACAAUCAUGACUACGGAUUAAUGUCAAAAACAUGCGGUGCAGCACUUUGGGGUACAGGUUGCUGCAUACCUCCACUUUGCUGCUGUGAUUUCAGGGAUGAUGGGGUUUAUAUGUAUUUGUGGAUUUUAGAUCUAUGGGAAGGAUUGAGGUGCAUGUUGUGUAAUUUAAGGGGGUAACAGUAUGUUGUGUUCCUGCUGAGGACUGAUUGCAAUUUGUGUUGUGGUGAUUACCACUAAUCCCAUUAACAAUAAGUACAUUCUACCUUACUUAUUUGCUGCCGGCCUUGUACAGAGGUUUGGAUAUUACUGAAGAAUAUUUAAAAUCUACUAAUUUCCGCAUUAUAUUUAAAAUUAUGUAUCUUCCAUCAUUAUAUUUCAUGCCCAUAAAAUGUGUGUGUUAACAUCACACAAGGCUGCACAGUCUACAAAGAGCAUUAAUAAUGUUGCAUUCCUCAGACUGUAUUUUCCUAGUGCUCACAAACACACAGCAAGUUAGUGAGGAUGUGGUGUUUUCAUCAUGGCUUCGCUGCAGUAUUUUUGUAAUUUUAUUAUUGAUGUUGUAUUUUUUUUGUUGUUGUAAGUUUUGGUAUAGGGAGCCCAUUUUCACCACAGUGGAUCUCUGGUUGUGUGUCAGUAUUUUUUUUUACGCCAAACAUAACUAAAUAACAUAAGCAGAUGUCUCUCCUACAGGAUAAGAAAGAUUAUAAUUACGCAACAUGCCCUGACAUACUUGAUGUCUAGACCUGUUACUAACAGGUCAAUGCAGGUCAUCCGCCUGCAUCAGUGGGCCUACACUUCCUCACAUGAGUGAGAAACCACAAUACUGGAAAACAUGAAGUUAGAAAUCCUGGGGGGCAUCAGGAUCACGUGUGAAAUAUAGAGCUUGCCACAGCUUGAUCACCCAGCCAGCAAAAGACCUAUGCACUGUGCAAAUAAGUCGUUUUUAGAAUUGUAUGCCUCCAGAUGAUGGGGUGCUUAAAGCUCAAUUCAAGUGUGGCAGCGAUGGUGCCAAGUUGGUCGGGGAUGUUUUAAAGCAAACAUCCUGCUUCCGAGUUUAUUAUUCAAAACUCCACACGGAGGAGAAACUGCUGUCGAGGCAGUCAUUUGAGUUUAGGCGGCAGACCAUGGGACACCUUGUGCACUCUGAAAAAUUUACAAUGCCUCCCCACUCCUUCCCAUCCCUGCGCUUAGAGGUGGACACCUCCAGCUUCCAUUAACCUUAAGAUGAAUGAGUAUGCUGUCAGCGGAGCCUGAUUGAAAACAUAUUUUUGGUCAGCAAGCUCUUGUCUAUGCAUCCCACUCGCCUCAUCCUACAUAUACUUAUCCUCUCUUCAAUACCAUUUGCUGAGCCACCUUUCCAACAUAAACGUUGUACUGCUGGCACAUCCAGGGACCCACGGAGGUCAUUCCGAAUAAAGAUUGCAUGCGUUUAAAAUUG